CCCUUAGAUGUUCUGGGCCGCACGCGUGCUACACUGAGUGGAUCAGCGGGUCAGGUUGCGCGAAAGUGUUUCCUAAUCUUUAAAUCCGCUCGUGAUGGGGAUUGACGGUUGCAAUUUUCCGUCAUGAACGAGGAAUUCCUUGUAAGCGCGGGUCAUCAUCCCGCGCUGAAUACGUCCCUGCCCUUUGUACACACCGCCCGUCGCUCCUACCGAUUGAGUGGUCCGGUGAGGCUUUGGGAUCUGAGCGGAAAGAGCGUUUCGCUGUUUCUGCCCGGAAAACUCAGUCGAACCUUAUCAUUUAGAGGAAGGAGAAGUCGUAACA
rnacentral:rRNA from 1 species